rnacentral:rRNA from 1 species
UACGAAGGGGGCUAGCGUUGCUCGGAAUUACUGGGCGUAAAGGGCGCGUAGGCGGCCAGCACAAGUCAGUUGUGAAAUCUCCGAGCUUAACUCGGAAAGGUCAACUGAUACUGUGCGGCUAGAGUGCGGAAGGGGCAACUGGAAUUCUUGGUGUAGCGGUGAAAUGCGUAGAUAUCAAGAGGAACACCUGCGGCGAAGGCGGGUUGCUGGGCCGACACUGACGCUGAGGCGCGAAAGCCAGGGGAGCGAACGGG